GCGCUUGUAGCUCAGUUGGUAGAGCAGGUGACUCUUAAUCACAAGGUCGAUGGUUCAAGUCCAUCCAGGCGCA
rnacentral:tRNA from 1 species